rnacentral:lncRNA from 1 species
AUCCUUGCAUCCAACAUUUACUCAGCGCAUCCUCUGUGCCAGGUGGGGAUGCUCGUAUUAAACUGCCAGAGGACGCAUCCCCUAAACCAAGGAGACCAGGGCCCCCUGAGAAGCCUUGGGGGGAUCCGGUCCCAAGAGGUGGGGAGGGGGCUCCCGCCAGGACCUCUCGGGAGGGGGUGGUGGGUGGGUCCGAGGGGCUGCCAGCCAGCGCAUGCUCAGAUCUGUCACCCCUUCCCGCGCUCACCAGAGCGCCUACCUGUGUGCCCAUUCGCUGGUCUCUUUUGUUGCCUGUGGUAACCCCACAGUUCCUGGCACGUAGUAGACCCUCAAAUAAGUGUGAUGAAUGAAUGAAGCGUGAGCCUACCAUAUUCUCCAGGUUAGAAAGGACGCAGCGGGGCUGGGGAGGAGUGGCGGCCUCCCCUCCUGGAGAGAGGACACCGGCUGAGCCCAGCAAGAGGACCCCUUGUUAGGACAGCUCGGAGAAGCUGGCCUCGUGGGACCAAACCUGCUCUUCGAGACGGAAGCUUGCAGGGGUCUAGCGAGGAGGAGGCGCCCGCCACGCAGAGAGCGCUUCCCGGGCGAGCAGGCCCCUGCAGUUCUCUUCCUCCCCAAUAUUUGGGGAAUGGGAGUUUCACGCCCAGAAAACCCGGUGCUGGUCCCUGUAGCCACUCUAGCCUGCCGUGGGUCCCCGCUGGCCUUGUUGCUGGUCACCUCCCAGAACUUUGGGGUAUAGUGUUGACAACAUUGGCCCGGCUUCCAAGGAGAGGCCGCGGGAAGACCACUCUCUGUCACUGCCCAGCCCCACGCCUGGGCAAAGCCCCUCCUCCACACACAAGCACCGGUGUCUGUGUAGCGCAUCGUCCUGAGGAUCUGAGAUGUCACCAGGUUUCACGUGCGGACAACGACAGUGUGAAGGUCAACAUCUGAUCUCAGGAUUCCUAAAGGCCACAGCGCCGCUUGGCCUGCAGAAGUUGCCCGGCCAGGAUCCAGCCCCGCCCAGCAGCACAAUGCACCAUAGGGGCAGCAAGGCUGGAUCCUUAACCCCCUGCACCACUAGGUAACUCCCAUGAACUGCACUUCUGAACGACGGCUGUACCUCUGAACCGCAAGGAGCUCUGCGAUCCUUUACCCAGAUGCCCAGCUGCUUGUUCUCCAAACCCUGAAAAGUCACCGUGUUCUUUAGUUUUGAGAUGGUUGCCUUCAGCCGAAGUUGACUUUUAAAGCUUGAAUAAGACCUGAAAUUGUCUUCAAGAAUCUCACAACCUAAACUUACACUUCUGUGUGUGGAUAUUUCGGCCUCUGCAAAGCUUCUCAGCCCCGUGAGGGCUCACUCCUUGCAGCCACGGACCCUGGGGGUUUGGCUACAAAACAGAAUCCAGUGCUGCCCCAUCCCACAGAGAAUGACUGGGCUGAGCAGGGGGAAACUAGGGACACUAAGAAACGCUGACCCAGCAGUUGCUCCUGGAAGAAGCCAUUAAGGUCAAGGCAGAAAUAAUGGCCACUUCAACAGGAACAGGAGAUGCAGAACACAAGAGGCUGGGCCAGCAGGGCUGGGCUGAGUUUACCUGGGUCUGAGCAGCCUUCCUAGAAGCCUUGCUAGAGCCAGUUCUCAACUUAGCUGCAGACCAGGGGCUCUGGGGAGUGGGGACGGUCCCUGGGCUCCAGCCCAAACACGCUGAGCUCAUUGGUCUGGGGUGGGGCCUGGGAAAGGGCACUUUCAUAGACUCUUCAGGUGCUUCUCAUUGACAUUUAGAACUAAGAACCGCAACAACCAUAGUAAAGCUUCACCAUUUGCUGGUUCCAGAAAAAACAAAACAAAACAACAAAAUUUUAUGUUGUGCCUCAUAAAGAAGUUGAAAUGCAGCAUGAAUUACAAAGGUCAAGAAUCAGGAAAAAUAGGGGGCACCCAGACUUGAACUGGGGACCUCUUGAUCUGCAGUCAAAUGCUCUACCACUGAGCUAUACCCCCUUCUGCUAUAUGUGGUGACAAUUAAUACUGUUCAUCAGUCUAGCCACGCCCAGGCUGCCUGUAAAUCUAAGAGCCGCCACUUCAGGAAGGACCUCUUUUGGGAACUGGCAAACCACUCUUCAGCCUGCCACCUAAGAAGCAACAAGCUCUGUCCUCAAAAGCCCUGCAGCCUGUGUCCACCCACCCCGCCCCAGCCAAGGGCCCCAGGGUGUGAGCAGCAGCCGGGAGAAGCCUUGACGUUGGCUGUAGAAUGGCCUUCAGAGUCAGAGGCCUGGCUCCAUCAUGGUGGGCACCUAAAAAACAGACACUGCCGGUGACUGAGAUGUCUGUGCAAACCCAUUUAAUGAGGCCUGACUCUCAUGGGCCGACCGUCGGUUCAGGGCACUUUCUGCUAAACUACAGUCUGGGACAAAAAUGACCCUCCUCUUCUGCAGUUAAUAGAGAUGGAGAAUCAUGGAGGUGAUCCACUCCUAGGAACCGUCAGGAGUAGGCGGCUGAGUGAAUUUAGGAAUCAUCCAAAUUAUCCCUGAGCUAACAUGAUGCAAGGACCAGGCCAUGCUGCUGGAGAGGAACCAUACUGAGCCCCGGGGCCCUCUGAUCCGUGGGCAAAUCUGUCUGCACACUCACGCCAAGACCUGCUUCUGCUCUUGUCCAGGAAGCUGGGAACCUUCUCUUUGGAAAACCGAUGUUGGGAGCUCUCCCUCUCACCCCCCAGCUUCUCCCUCGGGGCCUCGGCAGCCCAGCAGUUGCUUUUCCUCCUCCCCUGGCUGAGAAGCUGGGGAGAGGCUGACCUUGACCGUGAUGCUGAGGUGGAAGGAGACCCGGGGCAGGGCUCUGCGGGAGACGCCAGCCUUUGCUCUGCCCACUAACAAACUUAGAAGGCCCGCAACUGGGAGAAAGAGCGGCCACCAGAGGAAAAGGCAACAAGGGGAGCCCUGGAGGAGACUUGUGGGUGACUGGGGAGAGGAGGGGGGGGCAGGCAGGGAGGAGGGACCCGGCCUGGAACCCCAGCUGGGUGAGGCCCACAGAGCCCCUACCUGCCCUGCUCUCUCCCCAGACACGCCUCGGCCCUAAGAUCUAAGUGACAGCGAAGCAGGUGCCUCCCAGCCACAGCAGGCCCUCCACCCCUGAGCCUCUGUAGAAGUCUUUCCUGCCGCCUGAAAUGCCCUCCUUCCCGGCCCUCGAGGACCAGGCCCUGCACCCAGGAGGCUUCUCAUUGGCUUCCUUCCUCUGCACCAGGCGCGGGCGGUCUGCUUCCGCAUCAAAACUACUCAGCCUCCCUGGCCACAAGUUUCUAGGGGAGCCGCAGGGUCAGGCACCGCCCCCCCCCCCCCCCCCGCCCCCGUCCCCACCAUGAUUCCAUUCUCUUAACACUAAGAGGAGGUCACAGAGGGUGGUCCUUCUCUGUCCUUGGCCUUGGAGUCCUCAGACACAUAGGGGCUAUUGGUUCAAACCCAGUGAGCUUAACACAGAUUCGGGGAGUUUAUUCCAUAAUGUGGCGGGGGUUUUUGUUUGUUUGUUUGUUUUGUCUUUUUAGGGCUGCACCUCCUGGGAAUCUCCACGGGUGCGCCCUAAAAAAAGACAAAAAUAAUAAUAAUAAAACAUUUUAAAGCUUCCCUGAAAGACGUUGCAGGGGACCUAAGCAAAGGGCACGCUUUUAGGUGGUCCCCCAAACUAACAACUUCACAGCAAUGUCGAUGCUCCUGGAUUGGCCUAGAGAUUUAACGCAAUUCCAGUCAAAAUCCCAGUUAGGAUUUUUAUCGUCUUUGACAUGCUAACGCAAAAAGUUAUGUGGGAGGAGUCCCCUGGUGGCUUAGUGGUUGAGGACCCAGUGUUGUCACUGCUGGGGCACAGGUUCAAUCCCUGACACAGGAAAUUCCGCAUGCUGCAAGUACCGGCCAAAAAGAAAAGUUAUGUAGGAAAAGGAAGAGCUGGGAAUAGCUAGUGUUUUCCUGAAGAACAAGAGCUGGGCAAAGAAACUAGUGCUAUCAGAUGUGAAGACAUAAAAUCGGUAAGAUGGUGUUGUAUUGGCACGAGGAUAGACACACAAGACCGAUAGAGCAGAAUCGGACCAGAAAUGGACCUCUCCAUAGAGAGAAACUGAUAAACGAGAGAGCUGGCAUUGUAGCACAAUGGAGAAAGAGCAGGUUUUUUGAUAAAUGGUGCUAAGACAAUUGGAUGGCCAUACACAAAGUAAAUUCUGGAAGGAUUUAAGACUUAAGUAUAAGAGACCAAUCUGCAAACUUUUAAAAGAAAAAGUAACAGAAAACCCUUAUGACCUUGGAAUAAGAGAAGGAUUGAUUAAUUAAGACGUACGUAAAUACGAUGAAGAAAAGGAUUGGUCGAUUCUAGUUUGUUGACAGUAGGAAUUUCUGUGUACUGAGAGUCUCCAGAAAGAAAGCGAAAGGGAGAGUCAUAGAUCAGAAGACGCAUGUCAAUCGUUAUGUCAGCCCAGGAAUAGUCGGAAAACAGAAAGCACUCUAGGCUGUUCAGCAGAGAGAAUGUGAUACAGGCGAUUGGUUAACUAGGUUUAGGAGAAGUAACACAGCAGAAAGAGAGCCUCGAGACAGUGCAGAGAUAAUAACCAGGAAGCAGCUGCCCUAGUGCUAAGAGAAUAACUGAAGAGGUUGCAGGAGGCUUGGAGGGGGGCCCUCUAACGUGUUGGGACUCCAGCUUGUGGGGCAAGAGCACCGCCCAGCUGGUGCUGGUACCCUGGGAACACAGAAGGCUGGUCUCCCAGAGAAGUACUGAAAAUAAGGCUGGUUCUAGGCCUGCCAAACAAAAGUGUGGGCAUUUAAACCAGUGCCAUCCAGGUGGAGGAUCAUGGCUGGGGUCCCCUGACAAGAGCGGGCAGAACAAAGCACGUUCUGGUCUGCUUUUGUCAUCAUAGACCACUUCGCAUUUUCUUGUUGGUUAUAAAAAUGGAAUGAGACAUCACGCACUCUUUUUCUCUGCCUCCUUUCACUCAGCCUGUUUUCAGAUUUGUCCAUAUUGCUGCAUAUGUAUCAUUUCUUUUUAUUGCUCGGUAGUGCUCUCUCUGUUCAGUUUUGUGUACCCACCCGCUAUUCACCUGUUUAUGGUCAUUUAUUUGAUUUCCAGUGUUUGGCUAUUGCUAAUAAAGCUGCUAUGACACUCACA